UCUAGGCCAUUUCCUGAUUAAGCUGCCCUGUAGCAAGGAAUCAAGGCCUUCUGCUUCAGCAUUGUAUCUAGUCUCAAAUAAUUACUCCGUGUUCCUGAAAUUAAGCCCUUUCCUUGUGACAGAAUUACAAUUCAGAGGGCCCCCCAGUAGAGUGACCACCAUUGAAAGCUGAGUCUCCUUUUUGCCCUCUGCAUGUGGCCACAGUGCCGGAAGUGUGCUAGCUAGAAGGAGGCACAGACUCACCAGAGGAAAGACUGCAGAAGGCAAUGACCUCAAGUUCUGAGAAGCUCAAACUCUUUGCCUAUUUCAACAAAGAUUCAGCCAAAGGUACUGUCCAGGCAUUUGACACCCAGGGUCACCAAUGUGGAUCGUACAUCCACUGAAAAAGAUUCCAAUAAAGGCCAAUGUGACAAGACUCUUUCCAAGAUGAAAAACAAAAAGACAAAGGACAUAGACUCAACAUCAUAAAAUUGAGCUCCAUCAUUUUUUUCAAAGACAAAAUAAUAGAUAUACUUGUGCUAAUAAUAAUAUAUGGACAUAAUGUGCAAUUCACAAAGCACUUUUCUUAUAUACCAUCUCCCUAAAA